GCACAAGCGGUGGAUGAUGUGGAUUAAUUCGAUGCAACGCGAAGAACCUUACCUACCCUUGACAUGUCCGGAACUUGCCAGAGAUGGCUUGGUGCCCGAAAGGGAAUCGGAACACAGGUGCUGCAUGGCUGUCGUCAGCUCGUGUCGUGAGAUGUUGGGUUAAGUCCCGCAACGAGCGCAACCCUUGCCAUUAGUUGCUACGAAAGGGCACUCUAAUGGGACUGCCGGUGACAAACCGGAGGAAGGUGGGGAUGACGUCAAGUCCUCAUGGCCCUUAUAGGUGGGGCUACACACGUCAUACAAUGGCCGGUACAGAGGGUAGCCAACCCGCGAGGGGGAGCCAAUCCCACAAAGCCGGUCGUAGUCCGGAUCGUAGUCUGCAACUCGACUGCGUGAAGUCGGAAUCGCUAGUAAUCGCGGAUCAGCAUGUCGCGGUGAAUACGUUCCCGGGUCUU
rnacentral:rRNA from 1 species